AGUGAACGCUGGCGGUAGGCCUAAUACAUGCAAGUCGAACGGCAGCACAGUAAGAGCUUGCUCUUACGGGUGGCGAGUGGCGGACGGGUGAGGAAUACAUCGGAAUCUACUUUUUCGUGGGGGAUGACGUAGGGAAACUUACGCUAAUACCGCAUACGACCUACGGGUGAAAGCAGGGGAUCUUCGGACCUUGCGCGAUUGAAUGAGCCGAUGUCGGAUUAGCUAGUUGGCGGGGUAAAGGCCCACCAAGGCGACGAUCCGUAGCUGGUCUGAGAGGAUGAUCAGCCACACUGGAACUGAGACACGGUCCAGACUCCUACGGGAGGCAGCAGUGGGGAAUAUUGGACAAUGGGCGCAAGCCUGAUCCAGCCAUACCGCGUGGGUGAAGAAGGCCUUCGGGUUGUAAAGCCCUUUUGUUGGGAAAGAAAAGCAGCAGGUUAAUACCCCGCUGUUCUGACGGUACCCAAAGAAUAAGCACCGGCUAACUUCGUG
rnacentral:rRNA from 1 species